UACGUAGGCAGCGAGCGUUGUUCGGAAUUAUUGGGCGUAAAGAGCUCGUAGGCGGUCUGUCGCGUCUGCUGUGAAAACUCGGGGCUUAACCCCGGGCCUGCAGUGGGUACGGGCAGACUAGAGUGCGGUAGGGGAGACUGGAAUUCCUGGUGUAGCGGUGAAAUGCGCAGAUAUCAGGAGGAACACCGGUGGCGAAGGCGGGUCUCUGGGCCGUAACUGACGCUGAGGAGCGAAAGCAUGGGGAGCGAACAGG
rnacentral:rRNA from 1 species